rnacentral:rRNA from 1 species
UCUGUAGCAAUACAGAUGGCGCACGGCGCACGGGUGCGUAACACGUGGGUAAUCUGCCCUUCGAUGGGGAAUAACCUCGCGAAAGCGAGGCUAAUUCCGCAUAACAUUCCGAUGAUCUUGGUCAAUGGAUUCAAAGCCGUAAGGCGUCGGAGGAGGAGCCCGCGCACGAUUAGCUAGUUGGUGAGGUAACGGCUCACCAAGGCUAUGAUCGUUAGCUGGUCUGAGAGGAUGGCCAGCCACACUGGAACUGAGACACGGUCCAGACUCCUACGGGAGGCAGCAGUGGGGAAUCUUGCACAAUGGGCGAAAGCCUGAUGCAGCGACGCCGCGUGGGGGAUGAAGCUUCUCGGAGUGUAAACCCCUUUCGACCCGGACGAAUGCCUCGCAAGAGGACUGACGGUACGGGUAUAAGAAGCCCCGGCUAACUACGUGCCAGCAGCCGCGGUAAGACGUAGGGGGCCAGCGUUGCUCGGAAUUACUGGGUGUAAAGGGUUCGUAGGCGGUGUGGCAAGUCGGGAGUGAAAUCUCUGGGCUCAACCCAGAGGCUGCUUCCGAAACUGCCGUGCUUGAGUGUGGGAGAGGCGCGUGGAAUUGCAGGUGUAGCGGUGAAAUGCGUAGAUAUCUGCAGGAACACCCGUGGCGAAAGCGGCGCGCUGGACCACAACUGACGCUGAGGAACGAAAGCUAGGGGAGCAAACAGGAUUAGAUACCCUGGUAGUCCUAGCCCUAAACGAUCAGGACUUGGGGUGCUUCACGUUCGUGGAGCGUCCCGGAGCUAACGCGUUAAGUCCUGCACCUGGGGAGUACGGUCGCAAGACUGAAACUCAAAGGAAUUGAC